rnacentral:rRNA from 1 species
AUCUCUGUAGAGUCUGCAUAUCAAUAAGCGGAGGAAAAGAAACUAACAAGGAUUCCCUUAGUAACGGCGAGUGAAGCGGGAAGAGCUCAAAUUUGAAAUCUUCAAGGUUUUACCUUGACGAAUUGUAGUUUAAAGAAGUGUUUUCUGUUGAAGUUUCGGUAAAAGUUCUUUGGAAUAGGACAUCAUAGAGGGUGAGAAUCCCGUAUUUGACCGUUAUUUUCAGCUGUGUGAUACACUUUCAAAGAGUCGGAUUGUUUGGGAAUGCAGUCCAAAAUGGGUGGUAAAUUUCAUCUAAAGCUAAAUAUUGGCGAGAGACCGAUAGCGAGCAAGUACCGUGAGGGAAAGAUGAAAAGAACUUUGAAAAGAGAGUUAAACAGUACGUGAAAUUGUCAAAAGGGAAGCGUUUGACACCAGUGUUGUUUUCUCGAAAAUCAAUUAAAAAUGAGCUUUGAUUUUGUGUUGUAUUGACCUUAACAGCUUUCUGCACUUAAUUUUCAUGUCUUUUUUAAUGCACUUUUCGUUUAACAAGUCAACAUCAGUUUCUUUUGUUGUAAAAAGGUCAUUGGAAGGUGGCUUUCUUUUCGGAGAAAGUGUUUAUAGCCUUUGACUCCUGCAAUCGGAGAGACUGAGGUCUGCAGCGUAGAUCCUUCUUGGAUUAGAUUCAUUUGUGCUAAGUUAUAGCUUUUUAUAGACAACCUGUUGACUAUAUUUAGUCUUGUAGCUUACUCGCUUAUGCAAUUUUACCUACGCUUAGGAUGUUGAACGCGCACAGAGUCUC